CCUACGGGAGGCAGCAGUGAGGAAUAUUGGUCAAUGGGCGGAAGCCUGAACCAGCCAAGUCGCGUGAGGGAUUAAGGCCCUGCGGGUCGUAAACCUCUUUUGCCGGGGAGCAGAGGUCCGGACGUGUCCGGGCCGGGAGAGUACCCGGAGACAAAGCAUCGGCUAACUCCGUGCCAGCAGCCGCGGUAAUACGGAGGAUGCGAGCGUUCUCCGGAUUUAUUGGGUUUAAAGGGUGCGUAGGCGGGCAUUUAAGCCGGCGGUCAAAUGUCGGGGCUCAACCCCGGCCUGCCGUCGGAACUGGGUGCCUUGAGUGGGCGAGAAGUAGGCGGAAGGCGUGGUGUAGCGGUGAAAUGCAUAGAUAUCACGCAGAACCCCGAUUGCGAAGGCAGCAUACCGGCGCCCUACUGACGCUGAGGCACGAAAGUGCGGGUAUCGAACAGGAUUAGAUACCCCAGUAGUC
rnacentral:rRNA from 1 species